UCCCUGGUGGUCCUGUGGUUAGGACUCUGCACUUCCACUGCAGAGGCCGUGGGUUCAAUCCCUGGUCAGGGAA